rnacentral:rRNA from 1 species
UACGGGGGGGCAAGCGUUGUUCGGAAUUACUGGGCGUAAAGGGCUCGUAGGCGGCCAACUAAGUCAGACGUGAAAUCCCUCGGCUUAACCGGGGAACUGCGUCUGAUACUGGAUGGCUUGAGUUUGGGAGAGGGAUGCGGAAUUCCAGGUGUAGCGGUGAAAUGCGUAGAUAUCUGGAGGAACACCGGUGGCGAAGGCGGUGGUCUGGGCCGGCACUGACGCUGAGGAGCGAAAGCGUGGGGAGCAAACAGGG